AACGAACGCUGGCGGCAUGCCUAACACAUGCAAGUCGAACGAGACCUUCGGGUCUAGUGGCGCACGGGUGCGUAACGCGUGGGAACCUGCCUUUAGGUUCGGAAUAACUCAGAGAAAUUUGAGCUAAUACCGGAUAAUGUCUUCGGACCAAAGAUUUAUCGCCUUUAGAUGGGCCCGCGUUGGAUUAGCUAGUUGGUGGGGUAAAGGCCUACCAAGGCGACGAUCCAUAGCUGGUCUGAGAGGAUGAUCAGCCACACUGGGACUGAGACACGGCCCAGACUCCUACGGGAGGCAGCAGUGGGGAAUAUUGGACAAU
rnacentral:rRNA from 1 species